rnacentral:rRNA from 1 species
AUUGAACGCUGGCGGCAUGCCUUACACAUGCAAGUCGAACGGCAGCACGGGAGCAAUCCUGGUGGCGAGUGGCGAACGGGUGAGUAAUAUAUCGGAACGUGCCCAGUCGUGGGGGAUAACGUAGCGAAAGCUACGCUAAUACCGCAUACGAUCUACGGAUGAAAGCGGGGGAUCGCAAGACCUCGCGCGAUUGGAGCGGCCGAUAUCAGAUUAGGUAGUUGGUGGGGGAAAGGCUCACCAAGCCGACGAUCUGUAGCUGGGCUGAGAGGACGACCAGCCACACUGGGACUGAGACACGGCCCAGACUCCUACGGGAGGCAGCAGUGGGGAAUUUUGGACAAUGGGCGCAAGCCUGAUCCAGCAAUGCCGCGUGCAGGAUGAAGGCCUUCGGGUUGUAAACUGCUUUUGUACGGAACGAAACGGCGAGCUCUAAUACAGUUUGCUAAUGACGGUACCGUAAGAAUAAGCACCGGCUAACUACGUGCCAGCAGCCGCAGUAA